rnacentral:lncRNA from 1 species
UGCCAGCCGGAACUGCCAGGGCUGCCCCACGGUGGUAACCUGCUCUCCACCACCUGUCCAGCCACCUGCCUGAGGAAGCCCUUCCAACAACAAGGAGGGAUCACGCCAGCAAGAGACCAUCCGCAGUGUUCAAAAAGAACCAGAAAAGGAAAGCAAAGGGUGCAACUUUAUUCUUAGGAAAAGACCACAAAAAGGCAUGUGUGUCUCUACACUGGAUCCCGAGCGGCUGGAGUUCUCCACCGAAGAGUUCUGUGCCCAGCGGGACAUAGGGGUGAGGACCCCACAGCGAGGUGGGCACUCCAGGGUGAGUCUAACACAGGUGAGUGCGGGAAGCAGCACCCGAUACUCAGACGUGCAGACCCCCAGGCCUCGGGGAGCACA